GACGAACGCUGGCGGCGUGCUUAACACAUGCAAGUCGAACGGAAAGGCCCUGCUUUUGUGGGGUGCUCGAGUGGCGAACGGGUGAGUAACACGUGAGUAACCUGCCCUUGACUUUGGGAUAACUUCAGGAAACUGGGGCUAAUACCGGAUAGGAGCUCCUGCUGCCUGGUGGGGGUUGGAAAGUUUCGGCGGUUGGGGAUGGACUCGCGGCUUAUCAGCUUGUUGGUGGGGUAGUGGCUUACCAAGGCUUUGACGGGUAGCCGGCCUGAGAGGGUGACCGGCCACAUUGGGACUGAGAUACGGCCCGGACUCCUACGGGAGGCAGCAGUGGGGAAUAUUGCACAAUGGGCGGAAGCCUGAUGCAGCAACGCCGCGUGCGGGAUGACGGCCUUCGGGUUGUAAACCGCUUUCGCCUGUGACGAAGCGUGAGUGACGGUAAUGGGUAAAGAAGCACCGGCUAACUACGUG
rnacentral:rRNA from 1 species